GUGGGGAAUUUUGGACAAUGGGCGCAAGCCUGAUCCAGCAAUGCCGCGUGCAGGAAGAAGGCCUUCGGGUUGUAAACUGCUUUUGUACGGAACGAAACGGUCCUGGCUAAUAUCCGGGGCUAAUGACGGUACCGUAAGAAUAAGCACCGGCUAACUACGUGCCAGCAGCCGCGGUAAUACGUAGGGUGCGAGCGUUAAUCGGAAUUACUGGGCGUAAAGCGUGCGCAGGCGGUGCUGUAAGACAGGCGUGAAAUCCCCGGGCUCAACCUGGGAAUUGCGCUUGUGACUGCAGUGCUGGAGUGCGGCAGAGGGGGAUGGAAUUCCGCGUGUAGCAGUGAAAUGCGUAGAUAUGCGGGGGAACACCGAUGGCGAAGGCAAUCCCCUGGGCCUGCACUGACGCUCAUGCACGAAAGCGUGGGGAGCAAACAGGAUUAGAAACCCGGGUAGUCC
rnacentral:rRNA from 1 species